rnacentral:lncRNA from 1 species
UUAGUUUUGCCUCUAGAUGUUUCUUUACUCUCAAAGUGUUGCUUUCUGUUAAUUAGCAUUUUAUGAAUCUUCAAGGACCAUGGUUUUACAUUCAAAUCUUUUUAAUGCUCUACUGAUGAAAAAAAGUCACCCGCACGUGCACCUUGAAUGGCCCUGAGGAGACAGUCCUGACACAGCCAUGUACGUGCUGCCGAUGGUCUUAAUCUUCUCGAUGUCCUGAAAUCUUUCCUCCCCCAGCAGCUGUGCAGAAUCACAGUCUUUAAAUACCACAGGUUACAUACAUAUGUGGUAUUAAACUUUCAUCAGCAGCUUCUGAGCAGGAUUCUGACCUCAUCAAAAUCAGCGAUGAUCUCGUUGAGCAGCCGCAAACACUCCACGCCCUGGUUAUUCAUCUCCGUCUGAGAGUAAAAAUCAGCAAAGCCUGGAAUGGAGGCGAACAUCACUCCCACCGUGUCAUAUGACUGCGAGUAGAGCUCCUAGAAGAUGGAGAUCACACAACAGAAACGUCAGAUGAGUCCAGUUUCAUUUCACACAACUGAGAUUUAAAUCAACAGUGAAAUGUGGCUCUAAUGAACUUCAGAACAGCAGUCAAUGCAUGAUCUUGCUGAAUACGUUGACUUUUAAAAAUCUCUCCACAAGAGGGCAGUGCUGCUUUAUAUGUAACACACUUGACUGACUCAGAAGUGUCAGGCAAAACCGAUGCACCUGAUA